GCCAGGCAUUGUGGUGCAUACCUAUAGUACCAGCUACUUGGGAGGCUGAGGUGGAAGUAACUUUUGAACUCAGGAGUCCUGGGCUGUAGUGCACUAUGUUGAUGGAGUGUCCGUGCUAAAUUCAGCAUCCAUAUGGUGACCUCCUGGGAGUGUGGGACCUCCAGGUUGCCUAAGGAAGGGUGAAAUGGCCAAAGUCAAAAACAAAGCAGGUCAAAACUCCCAUGCUGAUCAGGAGUGGGGUAGUACCUGUGAAUAGCCACUGCAUUCCAGCUUGGGCAACUCCAAAUAUAUAUAUAUAU
rnacentral:SRP_RNA from 1 species